rnacentral:rRNA from 1 species
GUGAGGAAUAUUGGUCAAUGGGCGGGAGCCUGAACCAGCCAAGUCGCGUGAAGGAAGAAGGAUCUAUGGUUCGUAAACUUCUUUUGCAGGGGAAUAAAGUGCAGGACGUGUCCUGUUUUGUAUGUACCCUGAGAAUAAGGAUCGGCUAACUCCGUGCCAGCAGCCGCGGUAAUACGGAGGAUCCGAGCGUUAUCCGGAUUUAUUGGGUUUAAAGGGUGCGUAGGUGGUUUGAUAAGUCAGCGGUGAAAGUUUGCAGCUUAACUGUAAAAAUGCCGUUGAAACUGUCGGACUUGAGUGUAAAUGAGGUAGGCGGAAUGCGUGGUGUAGCGGUGAAAUACAUAGAUAUCACGCAGAACUCCGAUUGCGAAGGCAGCUUACUAAGCUACAACUGACACUGAAGCACGAAAGCGUGGGGAUCAAACAGGAUUAUAUACCCGGGUAGUCC